UACAGGGGGGGCAAGCGUUGUCCGGAAUCAUUGGGCGUAAAGCGCGCGUAGGCGGCCCGGUAAGUCCGCUGUGAAAGUCCAGGGCUCAACCCUGGAAAGCCGGUGGAUACUGCCGGGCUAGAGUCCGGAAGAGGCGAGUGGAAUUCCUGGUGUAGCGGUGGAAUGCGCAGAUAUCAGGAGGAACACCAAUAGCGAAGGCAGCUCGCUGGGACGGUACUGACGCUGAGGUGCGAAAGCGUGGGGAGCAAACAGG
rnacentral:rRNA from 1 species